CCUACGGGAGACUGCAGUGAGGAAUAUUGGUCAAUGGUCGGGAGACUGAACCAGCCAAGCCGCGUGAGGGAUGAAGGUACAGAGUAUCGUAAACCUCUUUUGUCAGGGAACAAAGGCGGGGACGUGUCCCCGGAUGAGUGUACCUGAAGAAAAAGCAUCGGCUAACUCCGUGCCAGCAGCCGCGGUAAUACGGAGGAUGCGAGCGUUAUCCGGAUUUAUUGGGUUUAAAGGGUGCGCAGGCGGUCUGUUAAGUCAGCGGUCAAAGCCCGGGGCUCAACCCCGGCCCGCCGUUGAAACUGGCAGUCUUGAGUUGGAGAGAAGUAUGCGGAAUGCGCGGUGUAGCGGUGAAAUGCAUAGAUAUCGCGCAGAACUCCGAUUGCGAAGGCAGCAUGCCGGCUCCACACUGACGCUGAGGCACGAAAGCGUGGGUAUCGAACAGGAUUAGAUACCCUUGUAGUC
rnacentral:rRNA from 1 species